CACCGGCAGCCACUGAGUUUUUUUCUCACCACGGUCGACAAUCACAGAAAAAAUAAGUCUACAAUUACCGGCAACAACCAUAGAAAAACAGAUAUCCAGUCAAUCACAACAUCCACCUCAUAGUGACGACGCUACCACAACUAUAGAAAGACAGAUCUACAGCCACAUCACAACACCCACCUCAUCGCGGUGGCGCCACCAACAUCAUCCCGCCAUUUCACCCUUUCCACAACGUCUCUUCCAUUUUUUAUUUUCGCAUCUGCAUUCUACACAACUGACGGCACAGACACAAAAUCACCACCAACCACGUUGAUAGAGUAGGAACCUGCACGGGCGCUGUCGAUCUAAAAGUCAACACCACGGAAGACGGAGCGGCAGAAAUGAGUAAAUAUGUGAAAUUUUAGGAUUAGAGUUUAGUUAUUUGGGAUAAGCGGAGUAAAUCUGUGACGAAUUUAGGGGGCAAAAUGGGAAACUAAAGAGUUUAGAGAAGAUAGUGGUGGCACUUGAGGAUGGCCAUAGCUUUUUCCACAAUUAGCCCUUGUUUGAGCCAUAUUAUUUUUUUUAGAAUGCAUUUUUGAAUAAUGUAUUGAUGAAAAAUGUGUGAUUAAAAAAUAAAAUAAAAUUUUGAAUUUGCGUGUAAUAUUAUUUUAUUGAAAAAUGUGCGAUUGAAAUGAUAUUAAAUCACUAUUUAAGAAUAUAUAUUUUUUUUUAAAUGUGGCUCAAACAUACCUUGACACCGUCUGACAUAGAAAUCCGUUAUAAAUGUGAGUAGGUGAGGGUAAUGUGUAUUUGUUAAUGGAGGAGAAUAUUGGAGUUAAAAAAUCAAAUUGUGCAGUUUUGAAGUUCUAUAAUGAUUUAUGCAAGGAUUAAGAUGUUUGCGCCGAGGGGGUAAUCGAACUGUGUCCUCCCUUCACAAACAUGCAGGCCCCGCCCCUUAUUAAAUAAUUCAAGCCGUGGUUUCCACCUCAUGUUGUGUGUAGUAGAUAAAAGGUUAUAUAGAUGAUUAUGUACGUGUAGUAUGACCCUUUAUUUAGGAUUAGAAUUUAGUUAUUUGGGCUAAGAGGAGUAAAUCGUGAGCUCACGAGCCACGAGCUGCUCGCGAACUCGUCACUCCACAUCAUCCUAUCCCAUCGCUUCUCUCUAAUUUAGGGAUAUCAACAAGUCGGGUCGGAUUAGGACAACUAUUCUCUUCUCUCGUCUUGUUGAGUAGUUUUAUUACCUUACCCCAUCUCCAUACACAGUUAAGGCGAGGUUGGACAAGCUGGCUCCUUGUCCUAUUUAUAUUUUAUUUUUUUCAUAUCUUUAAUUGGUAAAUAUUAUUAUCAUUAUUUAUUUUUUUUCAAUUUGUUAAUAACACCCAUGUUUCCUCUAAAAACGAUGAUGAUAUUUUUCUUUUUACAUGAUAAAAGUUUAAAUUUGAAAUGAAUUUUAGACAAGCAGGAUUUAUGUUCCCCAAACCAACUCGGGGCAAUGACCCUCACUUGUCCCCCACCUCAUGUACUAAGCCCCGUUUGAUUAUCGUUGUUUGAUCACAAAAAUAAAAAAUAUAAUCGCUAUUUAUUGUAUUAAGUUACUAUAUUUGACUUUUUAUCUUUUCGAUAGUUUUCAUUAUCAUUCUUACAAAAAUAAUACCAAAUGGGACCUAAGUAGGGAACCUCCAUGCAUUUGGGGCGAGGUCCAAGCGUAUAAGCUUUUUUGCCAUCCUUAAUCUCAUUCUUCACCCGCUUUCUCCUCCGAACUACCACCGGCAGCCACUGAGUUUUUUUCUCACCACGGUCGACAAUCACAGAAAAAAUAAGUCUACAAUUACCGGCAACAACCAUAGAAAAACAGAUAUCCAGUCAAUCACAACAUCCACCUCAUAGUGACGACGCUACCACAACUAUAGAAAGACAGAUCUACAGCCACAUCACAACACCCACCUCAUCGCGGUGGCGCCACCAACAUCAUCCCGCCAUUUCACCCUUUCCACAACGUCUCUUCCAUUUUUUAUUUUCGCAUCUGCAUUCUACACAACUGACGGCACAGACACAAAAUCACCACCAACCACGUUGAUAGAGUAGGAACCUGCACGGGCGCUGUCGAUCUAAAAGUCAACACCACGGAAGACGGAGCGGCAGAAAUGAGUAAAUAUGUGAAAUUUUAGGAUUAGAGUUUAGUUAUUUGGGAUAAGAGGAGUAAAUCUGUGACGAAUUUAGGGGGCAAAAUGGGAAACUAAAGAGUUUAGAGAAGAUAGUGGUGGCACUUGAGGAUGGCCAUAGCUUUUUCCACAAUUAGCCCUUGUUUGAGCCAUAUUAUUUUUUUUAGAAUGCAUUUUUGAAUAAUGUAUUGAUGAAAAAUGUGUG
rnacentral:lncRNA from 1 species